AACGAACGCUGGCGCCAGGCUUAACACAUGCAAGUCGAAUGCCCCGCAAGGGGAGUGGCAGACGGGUGAGUAACGCGUGGGAACAUACCCUUUCCUGCGGAAUAGCUCUGGGAAACUGGAAUUAAUACCGCAUACGCCCUACGGGGGAAAGAUUUAUCGGGGAAGGAUUGGCCCGCGUUGGAUUAGCUAGUUGGUGGGGUAAAGGCCUACCAAGGCGACGAUCCAUAGCUGGGCUGAGAGGAUGAUCAGCCACAUUGGGACUGAGACACGGCCCCAGCUCCUACGGGAGGCAGCAGUGGGUAAUAUAGGACAAUGGGCGCAAGCCUAAUCCAGCCACGCCGCGUGAGUGACGAAGGCCUUAGGGUUGUAAAGCUCUUUCACCGAUGAAGAUAAUGACGGUAGUCGGAGAAGAAGCCCCGGCUAACUUCGUGCCAGCCGCCGCCGUAAAAC
rnacentral:rRNA from 1 species